rnacentral:rRNA from 1 species
CCUACGGGAGGCAGCAGUGGGGAAUAUUGGACAAUGGGGGAAACCCUGAUCCAGCGACGCCGCGUGAGUGAAGAAGUAUUUAGGUACGUAAAGCUCUAUCAGCAGGAAAGCAAAUGACGGUACCUGACUAAGAAGCACCGUAUAACUACGGGCCAAAAGCCGCUGCAAUACGGAGGGGGCAAGCGUUAUCCGGAUUUACUGGGUGUAAAGGGAGCGUAGACGGCAGCGCACGUCUGGCGGGAAAUGCUGGGGCCCAACCCCGGAACUGCUCUGGAAACUGUGAAGCUGGAGUGCAGGAGAGGUAAGCGGAAUUCGUGGUGUAGCGGUGAAAUGCGUAGAUAUCAGGCGGAACUCCGGCUGCGAAGGCGGCUUACUGGACUGUAACUGACGCUGAGGCUCGAAGGCGUGGGGAUCGAACAGGAUUAGAUACCCCUGUAGUC